UAGGGAAUCUUCCGCAAUGGACGCAAGUCUGACGGAGCAACGCCGCGUGAGUGAAGAAGGAUUUCGGUUCGUAAAACUCUGUUGUUAGAGAAGAACAGCGCAGAGAGUAACUGUUAUGCGUGUGACGGUAUCUAACCAGAAAGCCACGGCUAACUACGUGCCAGCAGCCGCGGUAAUACGUAGGUGGGAAGCGUUGUCCGGAGUUAUUGGGCGUAAAGCGAGCGCAGGCGGUCAAUUAAGUCUGAUGUGAAAGCCCCCGGCUCAACCGGGGAGGGUCAUUGGAAACUGGUUGACUUGAGUGCAGAAGAGGAGAGUGGAAUUCCAUGUGUAGCGGUGAAAUGCGUAGAUAUAUGGAGGAACACCAGUGGCGAAGGCGACUCUCUGGUCUGUAACUGACGCUGAGGCUCGAAAGCGUGGGUAGCAAACAGG
rnacentral:rRNA from 1 species